ACAGGAUCUCACUCUGUCACCCAGGCUGGAGUGCAAUGGCGCAAUCUUGGUGCACUACAACUUCUACCACCCAGGCUCAAGCAAUCCUCCCACCUCACCCUCCCAACUAGCUGGGACCACAGAUAAGGAAACUGAGACCAAAAGGGAGUACAGGAAGGGAGUCUUCAGAACUCCUGGGCUUCAGGCAGAAAACUAAUAGCCUGUUUUCAUGAGGAUACCCAGAUUGAAACCAAGCUGAAAAGAGCUAGUUGUCAUCACUUCAUACAGACUCCCAUCCCGGCUGGUGUGCACAGUCUCUGACCAGACCUAUCAGGCUAUGGAGAUUCGGGAAUCCAUUUCCAUUGUGUAAAAUGUGACAACACUCACAGCAGCACA
rnacentral:lncRNA from 1 species